GUGGCUAAAAUUGAUAGGGUUUUACCCUCUGAAUUCUCAAUCUUUUUGAAUGAAAAGAACAAAAUUUUAUUAUCUUUGUUCUUUUCUCAUUUAGUUUCGGACAUUGUUUUUGUUUAUUAUUUUCAUGAAUAUAAAUACUUUUUGUAUUACUAAAAAACAUUUGCAGUAUGUUUGUUUUUUGGGUUUGUUUUGUAUAUGCAAGCUGAUUAGUUUUAUGUUGCAAAAAGCUUGAGUCUAGUUUCUCAGUCAAUGAUAUAUCAUCAACUUUGGUUUGUGUUUUGCAUACAUUUCAAAUUUGUAUAUAUUUUCACAAUUCACCCCUUUGAUUAACUUUCAUGGUAAAAUAUUUAUCAAUUAUUCAGUUCUAAAAACUCCCCAUUUAUUCUUUUAGUUAGUAAGUUAACAUUCUCCUAAAAUUUUUUAGUGGACGGUGUUAAAUGCAAUAUUGAUUCUCAUUGUAUUCUACAAAGAUUGAUUGCAAUAUAUUGUUUUAGCAAGUGUUAAGAAACACCGGACUUUCUUUGACCAAAUGCACUAUUCAUAUAAAUGUAAAUAUUGUCAUAGUAUAAGUUUUUGUGGUUCACACUGGUUCAAGCGAUUGUUCUGUUCAAUUUCACUGACUAGCUCGGAAUUGGUUGUCCUUCCAAACUGAUGUUUUGCCCGAUUCACAGCUGAACUGAUCAAACCGGCCAAUUCAAUCCAGUUCUUACAACAUUGGGUGUCAUAUCUUUUACAUAUGAUAACCAUAUUCAUUAGUGUUAUGGAGAUUUCUUGAUACAUAUGCUAAAAUACUUCAAGCUAACAAGGUACAAUAAAAAAUUGAUUAUCAAUGCACUGGACAAAAUAAUUCAAAAUGUACUGUAAUACCCAUUGUGAUGUACAAUGUUUGAUUUUGCAUUGUAUAAAGACGCAUAACAAAAUUUUAAAUAUGUAAAAAUAUUUUAUUUAUUAUUUCAGUAAAAAUAACAAUUAUUGAAACAAUUAAAAUUAUAAAAACUACAUAUAAAAUUUGUAAUAAUCUAAGAG
rnacentral:lncRNA from 1 species